CCUACGGGGGUGCAGCAGUGGGGAAUAUUGGACAAUGGGCGAAAGCCUGAUCCAGCCAUGCCGCGUGUGUGAAGAAGGCCUUCGGGUUGUAAAGCACUUUCAGUGGGGAAGAAAGCCUUGGGGCUAAUACCCUCGAGGAAGGACAUCACCCACAGAAGAAGCACCGGCUAACUCCGUGCCAGCAGCCGCGGUAAUACGGAGGGUGCGAGCGUUAAUCGGAAUUACUGGGCGUAAAGCGCGCGUAGGCGGUCUGAUAAGCCGGUUGUGAAAGCCCCGGGCUCAACCUGGGAACGGCAUCCGGAACGGUCAGGCUAGAGUGCAGGAGAGGAAGGGAGAAUUCACGGUGUAGCGGUGAAAUGCGUAGAGAUCGGGAGGAAUACCAGUGGCGAAGGCGGCCUUCUGGACUGACACUGACGCUGAGGUGCGAAAGCGUGGGUAGCAAACAGGAUUAGAUACCCCGGUAGUC
rnacentral:rRNA from 1 species